rnacentral:rRNA from 1 species
AUUGAACGCUGGCGGCAGGCCUAACACAUGCAAGUCGGGCGAGCGGCGGACGGGUGAGUAAUGUAUGGGGACUGCCUGAUGGAGGGGGAUAACUACUGGAAACGGUAGCUAAUACCGCAUACCAUCAGAUAACCCAUAGGGGAUUAGCUAGUAGGAGAGGUAACGGGGCACCAAGGCGACGAUCCCUAGCUGGUGUGAUAGGAUGAUCAGCCGCACAGGUACUGAGACAGGGCGCAGACUCCUACGGAGUCCGAAGUGGGGAAUAUUGCACAAUGGGCGCAAGCCUGAUGCAGCCAUGCCGGGUGUAUGAAGAGGGCUUUGGGUUUGUAAAGUACUUUCAGUCGGGAGGCGUUACCGACAGAAGCAGCACCAGCUAAACCCGUGACAGCAGCCGCGGUAAUUG